AACGAACGCUGGCGGCAGGCUUAACACAUGCAAGUCGAGCGCCCCGCAAGGGGAGCGGCCGACGGGUGAGUAACGCGUGGGAACGUACCUUUUGGUUCGGAACAACUCCGGGAAACUGGAGUUAAUACCGGAUAAGCCCUAACGGGGAAAGAUUUAUCGCCGAAAGAUCGGCCCGCGCCUGAUUAGCUAGUUGGUGAGGUAACGGCUCACCAAGGCGACGAUCAGUAGCUGGUCUGAGAGGAUGAUCAGCCACACUGGGACUGGGACACGGCCCAGACUCCUACGGGAGGCAGCAGUGGGGAAUAUUGGACAAUGGGCGCAAGCCUGAUCCAGCCAUGCCGCGUGAGUGAUGAAGGCCUUAGGGUUGUAAAGCUCUUUUGUCCGGGAAGAUAAUGACUGUACCGGAAGAAUAAGCCCCGGCUAACUUCGUG
rnacentral:rRNA from 1 species